AGUGAACGCUGGCGGUAUGCCUAACACAUGCAAGUCGAACGGCAGCACAGUAAGAUCUUGCUCUUACGGGUGGCGAGUGGCGGACGGGUGAGGAAUACAUCGGAAUCUACUUUUUCGUGGGGGAUAACGUAGGGAAACUUACGCUAAUACCGCAUACGACCUACGGGUUAAAGCAGGGGAUCUUCGGACCUUUCGCGAUUGAAUGAGCCGAUGUCGGAUUAGCUAGUUGGCGGGGUAAAGGCCCACCAAGGCGACGAUCCGUAGCUGGUCUGAGAGGAUGAUCAGCCACACUGGAACUGAGACACGGUCCAGACUCCUACGGGAGGCAGCAGUGGGGAAUAUUGGACAAUGGGCGCAAGCCUGAUCCAGCCAUACCGCGUGGGUGAAGAAGGCCUUCGGGUUGUAAAGCCCUUUUGUUGGGAAAGAAAAGCAGCAGGUUAAUACCCCGAUGUUCUGACGGUACCCAAAGAAUAAGCACCGGCUAACUUCGUG
rnacentral:rRNA from 1 species